GGCUCAACUCCCAUCAAGCCAAGUUUCUGGAGGAGAUCACCCAGCUCAUCAUGGUAGAGCAGUUUUUCAAUGUGCCCCCCAACGAGAAGGCGACGACUCAUUCGUACGUCAAUCUAUAUCAACUUUCGAUGCCAUUGACUGCGCCUACCAUGGUGACCAUGAGUAAUGAGGAAUCAGGGUUCGAUUCCAUACAGGGACCCUGACAAACGACUACCACAUGCAAGGAAGGCAGCAGGUGCGCAAAUGACUCACUCCCGACGCGGGAAGGUAGUGACGACAAAUAACAAUACAGGACUCUUUAGAGUCCCUGUAAUUGUAAUGAGUCCACUUGAAAUCCUUUAACUCUGAUCAAUUGGAGGGCAAGUCUGGUGCAGAGCCACUGACCCAUGUGUGCUGCUGCUGAAAAUCCACUAUCGCCUGCUGCUGCUCAAACAGUC